UGGGGAAUAUUGCACAAUGGGGGAAACCCUGAUGCAGCGACGCCGCGUGAGCGAAGAAGGUAUUCGUAUCGUAAAGUUCUGUCCUAUGGGAAGAUAAUGACAGUACCAUAGAAGAAAGCUCCGGCUAAAUACGUGCCAGCAGCCGCGGUAAUACGUAUGGAGCGAGCGUUGUCCGGAAUUAUUGGGCGUAAAGGGUACGCAGGCGGUUUAAUAAGUCGAAUGUUAAAGAUCGGGGCUCAACCCCGUAAAGCAUUGGAAACUGAUAAACUUGAGUAGUGGAGAGGAAAGUGGAAUUCCUAGUGUAGUGGUGAAAUACGUAGAUAUUAGGAGGAAUACCAGUAGCGAAGGCGACUUUCUGGACACAAACUGACGCUGAGGUACGAAAGCGUGGGGAGCAAACAGG
rnacentral:rRNA from 1 species